rnacentral:rRNA from 1 species
UGGGGAAUCUUGCGCAAUGGGCGAAAGCCUGACGCAGCAACGCCGCGUGCGGGAUGAAGGCCUUCGGGUCGUAAACCGCUUUCAGUGGGGACGAAUCCAGACGGUACCCACAGAAGAAGCCCCGGCCAACUACGUGCCAGCAGCCGCGGUAACACGUAGGGGGCGAGCGUUGUCCGGAUUCAUUGGGCGUAAAGAGCUCGUAGGCGGCUCAGCAAGUCGGGUGUGAAAACUCCAGGCUCAACCUGGAGACGCCACCCGAUACUGCUGUGGCUAGAGUCCAGUAGGGGAGCGUGGAAUUCCCGGUGUAGCGGUGAAAUGCGCAGAUAUCGGGAGGAACACCAGCGGCGAAGGCGGCGCUCUGGGCUGGAACUGACGCUGAGGAGCGAAAGCGUGGGGAGCAAACAGGAUUAGAUACC